rnacentral:rRNA from 1 species
GACAGAGGGUGCAAACGUUUGUUCGGAAUUACUGGGCGUAAAGCGCGCGUAGGCGGAUCGCUAAGUCAGGGGUGAAAUCCCAGGGCUCAACCCUGGAACUGCCUUUGAUACUGACGAUCUGGAGAUCGGGAGAGGUUGGUGGAAUUCCGAGUGUAGAGGUGAAAUUCGUAGAUAUUCGGAGGAACACCAGAAGCGAAGGCGGCCAACUGGCCCGAUACUGACGCUGAGGCGCGAAAGCGUGGGGAGCAAACAGG